rnacentral:rRNA from 1 species
AGGAUACGGUUAACGGAGCGAAAGCGACGUUCAACCUCAAAAGAAGCAGAGGGGGCUUAGUGGUGGGGUGACUGCGUACCUUUUGUAUAAUGGGUCAGCGACUUAUAUUCUGUAGCAAGGUUAACCGCAUAGGGGAGCCGGAGGGAAACCGAGUCUUAAUUGGGCGUUAAGUUGCAGGGUAUAGACCCGAAACCCUGUGAUCUAGCCAUGGGCAGGUUGAAGGUUGGGUAACACUAACUGGAGGACCGAACCGAC